rnacentral:rRNA from 1 species
UACGGGGGGAGCAAGCGUUGUUCGGAUUUACUGGGCGUAAAGGCGCGUAGGCGGCCACCGCAAGUCGGUUGUGAAAUCUCCGGGCUUAACCCGGAAAGGUCAAUCGAUACUGCGGGGCUAGAGUGCAGAAGGGGCAACUGGAAUUCUCGGUGUAGCGGUGAAAUGCGUAGAUAUCGAGAGGAACACCUGCGGCGAAGGCGGGUUGCUGGGCUGACACUGACGCUGAAGCGCGAAAGCUAGGGGAGCGAACGGG